rnacentral:tRNA from 1 species
GGUUCCGUGGUGUAGUGGUUAUCACGUCUGCUUCACACGCAGAAGGUCUCCGGUUCUAUCCCGGGCGGAGCCA